AUUGAACGCUGGCGGCAAGCCUAACACAUGCAAGUCGAACGAGUGGCGGACGGGUGAGUAAUGUCUGGGAAACUGCCUGGUGGCGGGGGAUAACUACUGGAAACGGUAGCUAAUACCGCAUACCAUCGGAUGGUCCCAGAUGGGAUUAGCUAGUAGGUGGGGUAAAGGCUCACCUGGGCGACGAUCCCUAGCUGGUCUGAGAGGAUGACCACACACACUGGAACUGAGACACGGUCCAGACUCCUACGGUAGGAAGCAGUGGGGAAUAUUGCACAAUGGGCGCAAGCCUGAUGCAGCCAUGCCGCGGGUAUGAAGAAGGCCUUCGGGUUGUAAAGUACUUUCAGCGGGGAGGCGUGACCCGCAGAAGAAGCACCGGCUAACUCCGUGCCAGCAGCCGCGGUAAUUC
rnacentral:rRNA from 1 species